CAAUUACUAAAUAUUUUUUAAUUCAUUUAUUAAACAUGUUAGUUUUAUUGUAGCUGAAGGGUACAUGUCAAAGGUAAGUGCCUCUGUUCACAUAAAAAUAUUCACACUAUUAAAAAUUUGUUUUGUGUGUUUCUGUUUGCUAGCUGUACGUAUGGGCCAUGACUGGCCAUGACCUCAGCAGGACCCGGCCUUCCCUUGCGCCGAUGCCGGCAUCACCUUCAGAAGAGGCGACAUCGUGGAAAUUGUGAACCAGACGGAUGCCCUCUGAUGGCAGGCAAAGAAACUGCCCACACGGCAUGUGCCAGCCUCAUCCCCUCUAUCAACCUACUCAUGCUCGUCCAAUCUCGUACUGCAUAUAAUAGUAUUUUGCAGUAUACAGACUUCCGAGGAUGAUGUCAUUGCUCAGUUUUUGGGCUUUUCCUCUGAGAUGUUCUGACUUUGACACUUGAGAUCUUCUGGUUUGGGAACUCUGACUUCUUUUGCUUGUUUUUCUAGAAUUGAAUCCUUUAGCAUCUCUUCUUAAGCCUGACAAUAUUGCUUGUAUGUAAAACAGAUCCGCAGCAGUGACAGUUAAUUUCCAUCUAUUUUGUAUUAUUUGAACUAUUUUAUAGGUUUUAUUGUGUUAUUACCACUGUAUAAAGCAGGAAUGGGCAAUUAAGUUUCCCUAGGGGCCACAUGAGAAACUGGAACUGUUGUGGAGGGCACAUAGAUUCAGAAUUAAGAGUCACCUUUAUUGUCAUUGCACAGUAUUGUAAAAACUACAGCAAAAUGAAAUUUUCUUGUGUGAUCAGUACCAGCAUUCACACACAAACCUAUUUACACAAAAGCUUAAAUACUUACAUUAAAUUAAGUUGAUCUUGCCAAGAAGGAUAGGUGGAGUCUGUUGAGUUCUGUGAUGGUCCUGAGAAAAAACUGUUGAGCAACCUGGUGGUAUGGACUUUGAGGACUUUCUAACGCCCGCUGAAUGGAAGUACGAAGAAAAGGUUGUACGACGGGUGUGUUUUGUCCUGCAGAAUAUUGUUUGUUCGUAAGGGGCAGCAGGUCCUAAAAAGAUCAUCUAGGGAGGUCAGAGGCAGUCCAAUAAUUUUUUUAAUCUGUUCUUAUUACUUGUUUGAGGGAUUUCUUGAUCAAUAAGCCUAUAAAGAGAUAUAAUGAAUAUUUCUCAUGUGGCACCUUCAGAAAAUUAAUUGCCC
ensembl:lncRNA